GGAAGCGUGGCCGAGUGGUUGAAGGCAACAGUCUUGAAAACUGUCGUACCCGAAAGGGUAUCAGAGGUUCGAAUCCUCUCGCUUCCGCCA
rnacentral:tRNA from 1 species